UACGGAGGAGGCAAGCGUUAUCCGGAAUUAUUGGGCGUAAAGCGUCCGUAGGUGGCUCUUCAAGUCUGCUGUCAAAGAGUGGGGCUUAACUCCAGAAAGGCGGUGGAAACUGAAGCGCUAGAGUGCGGUAGGGGUAGAGGGAAUUCCCGGUGUAGCGGUGAAAUGCGUAGAGAUCGGGAAGAACAUCGGUGGCGAAAGCGCUCUACUGGACCGCAACUGACACUCAGGGACGAAAGCUAGGGGAGCGAAUGGG
rnacentral:rRNA from 1 species